GGGGUUAUGGCUCAGUAGUAGAGUGCUUGCCUAGCAAGUAAGAGGCAUGGGGUUUGACCCUCAGCACCA
rnacentral:tRNA from 1 species